CCCAUUCUCACUCCAAAGGCGUCAAAAACCGAAGCAUGGUCAAGCGCCCCUAGCGUCACUUUUAUGACGCCAAAUGUGCCUCUCGGCGUCGACUAUCGAAGCACUACGACCUUCAUUGCUUUCAGUGGGAAACUUUUGGCGUCAGAAUUCGACACGAGGACAUGAGAUGUUUAUCGCUAUGAAAUCACGUUCAAGAAGUCUCAUUCAGCAUACAUCGCGCGAUACUUGCUAUCAGUUCCACAGUUUGGCUGAAAAGACGUAAAGGCAGUCAGCCCAGUGGUGUUUCUGGAGAGGGAUUCCUUCAGAAAUGGAGAAGACAGAAAGCUGUGGAGGCAGAUAUUUGCAGCAGUCUAAAAUAUCGAGCUCAACAGCUAUUUUAAGAGCCAACCCUCACAAACCUUCCUAAAACCUAAAAGAGCUAUUACUGAGUCUCAGCGAAUCUUGCCAUGAUCAGCUCUUCCCAGAAGAGAAGGAAGACCAAGGAUAUGAUUUGCUCAGGAUGAGGAAUGAAGAUGGCCAUCUUGAGCUCAAACAAACAGAAGUCCUCUGAUGAUCUCAUCAGCCAAAUGAGGGGUUUUGACCAAGUGAUGCUCUUGAAAGGAGUGAAAGAAGAGGAUGUGGUAAAUUGUCUUCAGAGAAAAGCUUCUCAAAAGAUCUUAAAACAGCUUGAAGAAUGGUCUGGGAUCUUAGGACUGAGAGAUCCUCUGGCUGAGAACAAGCUACACCUCAUCAGUGCUGGACAUCAACCACAAACUGUUUCCAGACACGAGAGAAGAUCACGAUGGGGAGAUGAAACCAGUUUAGAUGUGAUGAUGGGAAUCAUUAUUUUCUGAAACAGUAUCACAUGUCUUAUAUGUAUCACAUGAUCUGUAUCACAGUUGACUGGAUGGGACUGUGUGACUUUUAAGGACAUUUCAUCACUCAUCUGUGUGAACUGAUUUAUAUAUGAGGUUAAUGUAUCUUUGAUGAUAAUUAUUUUCAUUGAAUCUUAUUUGUCUUGAUGCUACUUUAUCAACUUUAUAGUCUAUGCUUCAAUAAAAUGAAAAUGGUGAA